CUGGCAGCCAACUGAGGCAGAUGUGUGUCGCAGGGGCUCUUUGACGAAAAAACUAAAUUAAGCACAUUGCAGGGGUAUUUCACUCGAUUUUCUAUGACAAACUCGCCUAAUCUACUUACCUGUAUGUGCCAGCAGUUUGAGUUUUGGAGGAUAGCUACCAAGCACACAGCAGAACUUGCCCCUAAUGGCCUAUAGUGUCAGCUGGGGUGGAGGAGAUGGCCACUCAUUCACCUUACAAACUAACCUCUUGUUUUGGUCCCUCUUUGGACCAGUGGGGGUUAUCCCAUUCCCCACUGGCGUGCCUACAUGAUGCACCUACAGACCUGUUGCUGACAAGCUGUAAGCCCUGUGGGACCUGACACCCGAAUCCCCAAUUCCAAGAUGGCCACUGCAAAAUCCUGACCUUCUAUGAGGUGCGGAUUGAGCAGGCCUUUGAAAGCCUAGGAUGAAACUGUGCUACACUCACACGAAGGGUAGAGAGCUGAGUGGAGCAGAAAGCCUCUCUAAGGCUGAACCCCGGUGGAACUUUCAACACAAGGCCUGCUUUCAUUCAUCCUGCCUUGGUGCCACAGGCUAGGAGAUGGAGGAAGCCGAAGCAACGACCACCGCAGGCGGCUCACUCCUACAGGCAGCCGACACCUACAUAGGCCGCAGUCCAACUGGAGAUUAAUCCAUCUGCACGGCUCAUACUCUCGGGAGGUCAGGAAACCCAGGCUACAUAUUUGGAUCACAGUAAGCGGUCUGACCCAUGGGCUUCAGGCUGUUGGGGCAACGCUGUAUGGCCCUUCACUACAAUCACCCUGCCGGGUCCAGAGUAUUGUUUGUGGGGCAUAGGCUGAGCAUAUUAACUAGUAUGGGAGACUGGGGGUUCCAUCUCCAUUCCAUUACACUGGCCUCUCAGCUCAUAGUGGGUGGAUGUUUAUUUGUUUUUGUUUUUUUAUGGUUAAGUUUUCUGAUACACAUAUUGGUGGGUGCCAGUGGUUUAUCUUGUUAACGCAACUCAGUGGGUUAAAAAUUGUGGCAUUGUGCCUUCACUACUGGAGAUACCAAUCACAUGCUUUGUGGUUAACUGACCUAGCUCAACUGUCUCACUAUCUACUUGAAUGCCUUUUGGCAUACCUUUCUUAAUAUUGUAUUUUUUUUUCAUACCAAAAAUAGUGCAUAAUUUACACAUGUCAAGUAUCACUUUAUCUACUACUCUUACUUUGUACAACUAACUUGAUGUGCUAUUGUUACCAUGAUUCAU